rnacentral:rRNA from 1 species
GACGAACGCUGGCGGCGUGCUUAACACAUGCAAGUCGAACGGAAAGGCCCUGCUUUUGUGGGGUGCUCGAGUGGCGAACGGGUGAGUAACACGUGAGUAACCUGCCCUUGACUUUGGGAUAACUUCAGGAAACUGGGGCUAAUACCGGAUAGGAGCUCCUGCUGCAUGGUGUGGGUUGGAAAGUUUCGGCGGUUGGGGCUGGACUCGCGGCUUAUCAGCUUGUUGGUGGGGUAGUGGCUUACCAAGGCUUUGACGGGUAGCCGGCCUGAGAGGGUGACCGGCCACAUGGGGACUGAGAGACGGCCCAGACUGCUACGGGAGGCAGCAGUGGGGAAUAUUGCACAAUGGGCGGAAGCCUGAUGCAGCAACGCCGCGUGCGGGAUGACGGCCUUCGGGUUGUAAACCGCUGUCGCCUGUGACGAAGCGUGAGUGACGGUAAUGGGUAAAGAAGCACCGGCUAACUACGUG